UACGAGGGGGCGAGCGUUGUUCGGAAUUAUUGGGCGUAAAGGGUGCGUAGGCGGUUCCGCAAGUCCUGUGUGAAAUCUUCGGGACUCAACUCGAAGUCUGCACGGGAAACUUGCGGGGCUUGAGUGUGGGAGAGGUGAGUGGAAUUCCCGGUGUAGCGGUGAAAUGCGUAGAUAAUCGGGAGGAACACCUGUGGCGAAAGCGGCUCACUGGACCAUAACUGACGCUGAUGCACGAAAGCUGGGGGAGCAAACAGG
rnacentral:rRNA from 1 species